AUUGAACGCUAGCGGGAUGCUUUACACAUGCACGUCGAACGGAGUGGCGGACGGGUGAGUAAUAUAUCGGAACGUGCCCAGUAGCGGGGGAUAACUACUCGAAAGAGUGGCUAAUACCGCAUACUAUUUGCACGGCCGAUAUCGGAGUAGAUAGUUGGUGGGGUACAGGCUCACCAAGGCCACGAUCCGGAGCUGGUUUGAGAGGACGACCAGCCACACUGGUACUGAGACAAGGCCCAGAGUACUACGGGAGGCAGCAGUGGGGAAUUUUGGACAAUGGGGGAAACCCUGAUCCAGCCAUCCCGCGUGUAUGAUGAAGGCCUUCGGGUUGUAAAGUACUUUUGGCAGAGAAGCGGUAUCUGCAGAAUAAGCACCGGCUAACUACGUGCCAGCAGCCGCGGUAAUAC
rnacentral:rRNA from 1 species